rnacentral:rRNA from 1 species
CGAACGGGUGAGUAACGCGUAGGUAACCUGCCUCAUAGCGGGGGAUAACUAUUGGAAACGAUAGCUAAUACCGCAUAAGAGUGACUUAGCACAUGUUAGUUAUUUAAAAGGAGCAAUUGCUUCACUGUGAGAUGGACCUGCGUUGUAUUAGCUAGUUGGUGAGGUAAAGGCUCACCAAGGCGACGAUACAUAGCCGACCUGAGAGGGUGAUCGGCCACACUGGGACUGAGACACGGCCCAGACUCCUACGGGAGGCAGCAGUAGGGAAUCUUCGGCAAUGGACGGAAGUCUGACCGAGCAACGCCGCGUGAGUGAAGAAGGUUUUCGGAUCGUAAAGCUCUGUUGUUAGAGAAGAACGUUGGUAGGAGUGGAAAAUCUACCAAGUGACGGUAACUAACCAGAAAGGGACGGCUAACUACGUGCCAGCAGCCGCGGUAAUACGUAGGUCCCGAGCGUUGUCCGGAUUUAUUGGGCGUAAAGCGAGCGCAGGCGGUUCUUUAAGUCUGAAGUUAAAGGCAGUGGCUUAACCAUUGUACGCUUUGGAAACUGGAGGACUUGAGUGCAGAAGGGGAGAGUGGAAUUCCAUGUGUAGCGGUGAAAUGCGUAGAUAUAUGGAGGAACACCGGUGGCGAAAGCGGCUCUCUGGUCUGUAACUGACGCUGAGGCUCGAAAGCGUGGGGAUCAAACAGGAUUAGAUACCCUGGUAGUCCACGCCGUAAACGAUGAGUGCUAAGUGUUAAGGGGUUUCCGCCCCUUAGUGCUGCAGCUACGCAUUAAGCACUCCGCCUGGGGAGUACGACCGCAAGG